AACGACGCUGGCGGCAGGCCUAAAACAUGCAAGUCGAACGAACCUUCGGGUUAGUGGCGCACGGGGUGAGUAACGCGUGGGAAUAUCCCCUUCACUGCGGAACAACGUCGGGAAACUGACGCUAAUACCGCAUAAUGACUCCGGUCCAAAGAUUUAUCGGUGAAGGAUUAGCCCGCGUUAGAUUAGCUAGUUGGUGAGGUAAUGGCUCACCAAGGCGACGAUCUAUAGGGGGUCCUGAGAGGAUGAUCCCCCACACUGGAACUGAGACACGGUCCAGACUCCUACGGGAGGCAGCAGUUAGGAAUAUUGGACAAUGGGGGCAACCCUGAUCCAGCCAUGCCGCGUGUGUGAAGAAGGCCUUAGGGUUGUAAAGCACUUUCGGCUGUGAAGAUAAUGACAGUAGCAGAAGAAGAAGCUCCGGCUAAAUUCGUG
rnacentral:rRNA from 1 species